UAUCCUAACCGUGCAAAGGUAGCGCAAUCAAUUGUCCCAUAAAUCGAGACUAGUAUGAAUGGCUAAACGAGGUCUUAACUGUCUCUUACAGGCAAUCGGUGAAAUUGAUCUCCCUGUACAAAAGCAGGGAUAUACCCAUAAGACGAGAAGACCCUGUGGAACUUUAAAACCAGCAACCACCUUAAAACACAUACUCACCCACCGGGUUCACUGACACAUAAGAUUCUGGUCUGCGUUUUUCGGUUGGGGCGACCUUGGAGCAAAACAAAACCUCCAAAAAUUGGACCACACCUCUAGACUGAGAGCAACCCCUCAACGUGCUAAUAGCACCCAGACCCAAUACAAUUGAUCAAUGGACCAAGCUACCCCAGGGAUAACAGCGCAAUCUCCUCCGAGAGUCCGUAUCGACGGGGAGGUUUACGACCUCGAUGUUGGAUCAGGACAUCCUAGUGGUGCAGCCGCUACUAA
rnacentral:rRNA from 2 species